UGGGCAACCUGCCCUCAGCUCUGGGAUAACUCCGGGAAACCGGGGCUAAUACCGGAUACGACCACUCCUGGCAUCUGGGGUGGUGGAAAGUUUUUCGGCUGAGGAUGGGCCCGCGGCCUAUCAGCUUGUUGGUGGGGUCACGGCCCACCAAGGCGACGACGGGUAGCCGGCCUGAGAGGGCGACCGGCCACACUGGGACUGAGACACGGCCCAGACUCCUACGGGAGGCA
rnacentral:rRNA from 1 species